AAACGAUCGACGGAACGCGAAUCGCGAAUAGUUCUACUACCGAUUCGGAACUCGAUGACGGUCGCACGUACCCUCGCUGAAACGAGGCGCGAGUCGGUCCUUUUUCGCUGCUAUGCAAUCGUUACGCAUGGUAUCGCUGAAAAAAAUCGCGGCCAAACGACGAUCGUGUUCGUCCUCAACGAACCGUGGUUAACUUCAGGCAUCGCGGGACAGCUGAAAAGCUGCAUCGUACGAUGAAAGUUGCUCCCUGGAGACCGGACGAUUAUUCGAAGAGGAGGAGCAGAGGGAGGCAGCCCGUCCAAGUGGUUGGGCAACGUAGGUCGUUUGAUGAUCUUCGAAGCGAGUUCGUUGGGCUGGUUGGCAGCAGUGGCUUCCUGACCCACAUACCUACCUACCUACCUACCUCUUUGGGUACGUACACCUCACGAGUGUUAAAAUCCAACGUCCAUCCGCCCGGCACGAAGUUACCUGGACACUCCACAUGCUACGAAGUCACCUGCUGUGAUAGAAUACCACCACAUUCACGCCCUGGCCAGGCGCCUGUGCUUCUUCUCCCUCCAAGUUCCUCCGCUCCAUCGACCCCAGGACUUGCAUCGUUGCCCAAGGAACCCGGAGAGGGACAAUUCCCAUUUUUGGAUUCUCCCUUUCUUUGACCAACGGAAGUGGGCAUGACAUUCCAUCCCUCAGGAUGGCGAAGGGUAUCGUAAGUUUUUGAGAACAUUUCAAAUAUUCUUCUCACUCUUAUUCGACGAGUCGAAUGAAAGGGGAGAAAAAGGGACGGAAACGGA
rnacentral:misc_RNA from 1 species